rnacentral:rRNA from 1 species
CGAGAAUCAUUCGCAAUGGGCGCAAGCCUGACGGUGCGACGUCGCGUGGAGGAUGAAGGUCUUCGGAUUGUAAACUCCUGUCAUGUGGGAUAAAUGGCCAGAGCAUGAAUAGUGCCUUGGAAUGAUAGUACACAGGAGGAAGGGACGGCUAACUCUGUGCCAGCAGCCGCGGUAAUUCAGAGGUCCCGAGCGUUGUUCGGAUUUACUGGGCGUAAAGGGAGCGUAGGCGGUUUGGUGUGUCGAAUGUGAAAGCCCACAACUCAACUGUGGAAUGGCAUUCGAAACUACUGAGCUAGAGUACUGGAGAGGAGAGCGGAAUUCUUGGUGUAGCGGUGAAAUGCGUAGAUAUCAAGAGGAACACCGGUGGCGAAGGCGGCUCUCUGGACAGAUACUGACGCUGAGGCUCUAAAGUUAGGGGAGCAAACAA